rnacentral:lncRNA from 10 species
GGAGCCUCGAGAAAACAGCCCAGGCUUUGCAUCAGACCACGGUGCCAUCCAGGGCCUUGGUCCUGCCUUUCUCUUGGCUUCUUUAUUUGUGUAGUUGGACCACUGAGAUUUUAACCUCUUCUAGAAAUGCACAUUUAAAAUAAUAUGAUACUUAUAAUUCCUCUCAAGUAAGAUGCUGAGCAAAUUUUAGGCUAUCCAUGAAUGCCGAUUUCCUUUCUCCUCUGUACACAAGAGAGAGAGAAGAAAUAUGUUGUUUGUUCUGACUUCCCUGGAGAUGCAUACACUUUAUUUAACAGGAUUUUCAGGGGCUAGUGAUGGUAUUUGCUGGAUCUUUAGAAUUAAAUGUCAACUCACAACGAUGACCACAUAGCUUCUUUUGCUUUCUGUUUUCUUUCUUUUUUUUUUCUGAGACGGGGUCUCACUGUCACCCAGGCUGCAGUGCAGUGGCACAAUCUUAGCUCACUACAAUCUCAAGUGAUCUUCCUGCUUCAGCUUCCUGAGUAGCUGGUGCACACCACCAUACACAGCUCAUUUUAAAAUUUUUUCUUACAGACAUGGGGUCUCACUAUGUUGCCCAGGCUUGUCUCAAACUCCUGGACUGCAGCGACUCUCACGCCUUGGCCUCCCAAAGUGCUGAGAUGACAGGCAUGAGCCGCCACGCUGGCCUAGGUCAUUCUUUAUAGGCAGAUGCACCUGCUUCUUCAUAUUCAUGCCUUUGAUGCCUCCUCUCUCGGUGACUCAGAAGCAAACACAGAUGAAACCCCUACAUCAUGUGCACAGGCCAGACAUGCAUAUUCAUUACAUUUUUCAAAGUUCUUUAUGAGUGGGAUUUCCUGUAGUACCUGAGGACCAUCUUGAUUUACUUUAAUUCUGGGUCUCAUGUUCAGGUUCCCCCACCUUUUUCUGGUUUUGUGACUUAUGUCUCAUCAGGGCUCCUAAUGCAGGAGAAGGGCUGAGUGUUUGCUGCUGAUGGUUUGGGAUAGUGUGUCUGCUCAGCAUGGGAAGGAGAAGGCUAAGAUGACACCAUUGGCUGUUUUAGGGUCGUCUCAUGAGGAGUUAGCAGAUUUUUCCUCUUUUACUAAGAGGCUGGAAGGAGUACUGCUGUGGAGAGAAGUCCAGGAAGAAAUCAGCUCAUCUAAGGAAGAGUGUUCUAACGAGAGAGGCUCAGAGGGAAGGUGUUAGGAGUUUCCAGAAAUGACCCAAGGAGGAGUCAUUCCAGAAGAUGGAAAGCAUUUGCUAUGGUGUUGUGGAGGGCAUUUUUCCACUGGGAUGAUUUGGACUUUUUGACAGCUUCCGGUUUCUUCUGAUUCUCAGAGGCUGUGAAUUCAUGAUAGAAGCAGCCUUUUUGCAUUCUUUAGGUCUUCAUCAUCAAAAUUGCUUGUGUGUGUGUGUUUCUGUUUACCCAGGUAAGUUUCUAGCCUUUUCGUUCCCUAGUGUUGCUAUGCUAACCCUGCAGUGUGUCCUACAUCCUUGAGGACAGGACCUGGGAUGCCACCAACACUGUCCCCCAGAACUUGUCCUUGAUGUUCUGAUGCAAACCCAGAGGAACAGCUGUCCAGCUCCAGCCUGAUUUACAUACACAACCCAGGUGCCCUUUGGGGAGCCACACAAAAGAGAAAGCAAAGGUGAGUGAGUCAGGGUUUGGGGAAGAAAAGGCACUCAGCAGCCGAGAGGCAAAAAGCAGAGGAGCCAGUGUCUUUCAGUGGUUUGCAUCUAUCUCUUUGUGUCUCUCCCCAAAGUUUCUGAGGCUCCCCACACCCCAGGAAGGGCAUCUCUGAGAGUGUCCUUCUGGUGACAAGGCUCUGUGGGAGCAGCGAGGGGCAGAAAGGCUCACGUAGAAAAGGAGGAGGCAUGGCUGCCCCAGAUCGCUCUGGAGACUGAAGGUGCAAUCGCCAUGGAUAUGACAUCCACCCUCGUGAUUGUGGUCGGGUUUUGUCUAUGAUGUGAGGGAUCUAACGAUGCUUCUGAAUGGUAAGUGACAUGUGCACGUAAUGUCUGCGCAUGUGUGAGGUGUGUGGGUGUUGGAGGUGGUGUGGGAAGGGCAUGGGGAGAGACAAGGAUCAGCGUUGCUAACUUGAUUCAAGUAGACACCAGCGCGGAUGACUGAGGCCUGUGAACCUCAUGUGUUUACCGAGGGAAAGUCUCCUAUCCCAAAUGUCUUUGUCUCAUUGCUAUAACCUCACGGACCCUGCAGGGUACACACAGCUCAUUUUACUGGUAGGAAAAUGAACCCCAUAAGGCUGAGUGAAGUUGCUAAGUACCCACAAAUCUGUCUACGAAUGGAGAGAAGAAGGAAUAUGCUAGUCAGGGCCACCUGUGGCCAGUGUGAACAUGUGACAGCAUGUGUGAGGAAGUGACUCCAUGUCAGCACAUUCCCAAGGUCUUCAGGCCACCUGAGAAAGGUGGCCAGUAAAGGGGGGGCAGAGGGCAUCUGGGAGAUAUGAGCGGACAGGGCCUCAGCAUUGGCCUUCUGGUCUCCAGGGCUUGGCACAUUCACGCCAGGUUCCACAGAUCUGCCUGCUUCCAUUUUCCUGAGCUCAGCCUUCAUUCCCUGACUCCAUCCCUAAGAACUCACACAUGCCCCAGCAGGUGGUCCUCAUUGACCUUGAAGUUGGGCCAGAGUGGCUGCGUGUGUGUCUCCUCCCACUCCGAGUCUCCCAGCAUCUCCUGGCCUGGCCACACUGGUUGUGGUCAUGAUGCUGUCAACCAUCACCACUGCCCGGACCCUGAACUCAGUCUUUGGACCCUUUGCACAUGAACAGCUUUGUUUUCCUGUAUUGUCUGGACUCUAAGACUUUCUCAUUCAGAGGGAUUUUACAAGGACCUGUUGAAAUUCACUUGAUGAAUAGCAAUUGCCUUGAUUCUGGAUCAAUAUUGGGCUCCAUACCUAAGUGCAUUCAAAGUCUUCUCUUUGCAACUGAGGCCCUGUGCCCGAUUGCAUUGCUUUCUUUCUAAGACUGGGACCCUCUUAAGGGUAGAGGUCUUUCUGCAAGUUACCCAGCCAGCAUCAUAUACAAAAUGGAAUCUGUGUAAAGCGUUGCUAAUGGUGAUGCCUCUGUUUCCUCAUCUCACUGAGUUGCAUAUGAUGCCAAGUGGCUUAAGGAUGGUUUUGUACACCCUGUGUUCAAGAGCUACAUCAACUUUAGUUCUUUAUUUAAAUUAAACACUUAAUUUUGGCAGUGGUAGGUGGUAAUGAAGGGUAAUGGAACAUGUGAGCAGCUAGUGUCUAAGUUCCUGAAAUUAUGGAGGGCACAGGUAGGAAGCUCCGUGGGGCAAAGCGUGGUUACGAGGCCGGACUGGGUGGAGUUAAUGAGACAGUGACUUCCUCCCUUAGGACUCUUCCUUGUGUGCAAUGUUUGUCUUUCAAAUACUCUCUAGGCUGCAAACAUGUGCCAUGUUCCCACUGAACGGGCUUCCUUCUCGCAGUAUUUUCCUUACCUGGCCCUUUGCAAGAACAUUCUACACGGAUUUCCCUGAAUUUGAAAUCUGAGCUCAUGACUUUAGAGACAGUGCUGGCUGACUUCAUUCCAGGAGGACUGAGCUCUUCCAUUUUCCGACAGACAUGGUGCAUUCUGUGGUCACUUUCCAAGAGCCCGUGGUGGGUUGUCCUGUUUCUGUUGGUGGGAAACAAGUUAAACACAAUUUGCUAUUUGCCUUUCACCCCUCAGUUCAUCAUGAGAUCAUUAGUCGGCUGAGUGACUGCUGUCCCCCAGGGGCUGGGAGAGAGGGGGUCUUGAGGGAGUUACUGGUGAUACUGCAUGCCUGUGGGUUGGGGGAUCAUAUCCUAUUUUUAUCAGAUGGAAUAUGCUGGACCAGAAAAAAGAACCACUGGGAACUGUGUUCUUCCAACUUUGGUUUCAGAUCCCUCUAGUUAAUGCCAUCCAUGAAAACAAUUAACUUCUCUAUAUUUCAGGAUCCAGGCAGGACCUUGUAGGAAUCUUAUUUAAUUAUGUGCUAUAUUAAUGUUAUAUUGAUUAUGUUAUUGCCUGUAAA